UCAUUCUAUCAUGUUGAAUAUUUGCUAUGGCCAGGGAUUUUAUAAAGGGAAACAUUUAUAGUACAGUGGCUAAGUUCUGGGCUCUUCUUAUAGUUGGAUGACCAAGGUUUGAAUCCUGACUACCACAUAGUAGCCAUGUGACAUUUGCUGUUACUUAAUCUUUUGAAGCCCAUAUCCUCAACUUAAAAUUGAAGAUAAUAACAGUACUUUCCUCAUAGGAUUGCAAAAAUUAAAUGACUUAAUCCAUUGUAGGGCUUCUUGCCCAGUCCUGGUGCACGAUGAGCCUCAAAUUGUAUUGUUACUAUUUUUUCCUUAUUAUUGGUAUCUCCAGUCUUACAGGAGUCCUUCCAAGAAGGCAUUAUAAUCUCGCUAGAGGCCCGGUACAUGGAUUUGUGCACAUUGAAAGGAAAUUAAUUAGAAGGUGGCUGGUGGGGCGGGACUGGGCAAGACCAGUCAGCCAGACACCCCCUGGAGCCAACCUCCCACUGUCCCUCCCUAGCCAGCUGCACCCGAGCCGUCUGCAGAGUGAGCAGGGUCCCUCCCUCCCUUGGCCUGGCCUGCAGGGAUUGGGCCCAAACCAGCAGUCCAACAUCCCCUAAGGGGUCCCAGAGUGCGAGAGGGCACUCUGCAAAGUUGCUGUCACUCAGCGGCUUCUGUGUUGAGUGUCUGCUCCCUGGUGGUCAGUGCGCGUCAUACCUACUGAACGGUCAGCCAGUCACUUAGCCUUUUAUAUAUAGAUUUUGCAGAUGAGGAAACCAUGAUGCUAGAGAUUGAGGAGUUUGCUCAAGGCCAUCUAACUUAUAAGUAGCAGAGUUGGCUUUUAAACCCAGUUCUGCAAACUUCACAACCCAUGUUUCCCACACUUUGCCAUGCUGCCUUCAGUCUCUUACAUAUUGUUAAUAUUCCAUUUCAAAGAUGAGAAAACAGACUCAGAGAGACCACUUAGCUGAUACAACUGGCCACAAACCUAGACCUUCCACUAUAAAUCCUACAUUAUGGUCCCUGACUACUUAUUUUCAUUGAGCACACACAGGUGAUUUCUGCCACAGCCCAGAGCUUCCCUUACCUAGCAGGUCAGUGGGGUGUGAUAGGGUUUAGUGUGGGGACUGUGUGUGGCCCAGGGCUAUAUCAUGAAUUCUCACUAUGAUUUCUGGUGGCUUCUGGUUGGUGUUUUAAGGUUUUUUAAGGCCGUAGCCACCUGGGACACUGUGUCUAAACCGUUGGCCAUGAAUAUUUUUAAAAACCAAACCAAUGGGACCAAAAUCAAUGCGACCAACUACAUCUGAUCAGCAAGCACAUUGAAUAGCAUGGAGGCAUAAGACACAUACCUGCAGUCCCCAGACCCUGGACUUCUAGGUACAGGGGAUCCAGGAGGAGGUGCUCAAGUGAAUCUCUCCAGGUGUGGUGGCCUCUGGAGCCUUCAUCACAUUCUAGAUUUGGCUUUCAGAACCUCAGGAUCCCAGAUGCUCUCUGCUGUCAUUGUCCAUGAGUGGCUGGCUGACAGAGAUACUACCUGUGGACACUUUUGGAGCCUGGAGCUUGCUCUCUCAACCAACUCAACAUCAGUCCAGGAGGGUACUUGAGACAGUCUUUGCCUUCCAGGAUAGGGAUGAGAGAGGGUUUAAUACACCUGUCAUAGUAGACUUUUCCCCUGGGCAGGGUUCUACCUCAAGAGCAACACUGUGGGACUAGAAUGUUGACAGUAACACAGGGGAACACAUGGAAGCUACCCAGCCUCUGGUAGAAAGCGGCAGCAUGGGGCAGGAGGUGAUGUUGAAAUCUGGGAUCCAUCAAGUCAGACAAACGUUUAUAUGAGACUGUGUGUUAAGUCUUUGUGACAGAUGGCUAAAAUGAAGUCCCUGCCUUCCAGUCCCGUGGGAAGGGCAGGCAUGAGAAUAGAUCCAUCUGGAGUGGGCUGUGCUGGAAAACACACGUGUGAAGAGCCAGGGACACCCAGGAGCAGGGACGGGCUCUGACUCGAGGUUAUGGAAGGCUUUCAAGAGGAGGUGACAUGUGAGUUGAGUCUGUAAGUAGAGUGGGAGUUUGUCAGGCUAUGGUGGUCCACCUGAGGUCGAGAGAGAAGGACCACAAGUUGUGUUAGAAAGUCAGUACUCCGUUUGGUGGGAUGGUGAGGGUGUGUGUUCAGGAUAAGGGGGAUGGGGGUGUGGAAAUGGCAGGCUGGAGCCUGAUUGGAGUGUUCAGUGGAACAGUGAAAUGACCAGACCCCAAUUUCAGGGGCCUUUCAGGAAGUGCUCCAGAGAGAUGAUGAGGCCUGAGAAGAGCCUUCCAAGGAACAAGUACCGUGAAGGCACAGCUGAUGGGCUGUGGGGGCCUGGUUGGGCGUGGAGAAGCCAGGAGGGACAGUUGAAAAUGAGGCUGACAAGGCACACAGGCUCAGGAGCAAGUUUGGGAAGGAGAUGGAAGGCUUGACAUGGAGGGAGAGGAUUCCCCUGGGAGUAAACUGAUGGGGCAAGGGAUGUUAGCAAAGCCCAAAUUUAGGAGAUUUUGGGAUACAGGGGAAAUGGAACAUAGAGAUCAAGGCUGUUAAAAGGAAGACAGUGAAGUAAAAAAAAUUUUUUCAAGGCUGAUGGAGAGCUGUGGUUAGCAGGGUUAGGCCACUUACCCCUCCUCUCCCUGGUGGUCCUCAGGGCCAGCUUCUAGAGAUAAGCAUGAGUUAGGUGGUAGCCAGCCCUCAUCCAGCGGGCCCAGGCCCCCCAGCUGCUUUGCUCCUCCUCUGCUGUGCUUGCUGCUCUGAGAAGCACUGUAGUGCACUCCCAAUCCUGACCACACCCCCCCCCCCCCCCCCCCCGCUUCACUUCUGGCACCUAAGAGUGCUUUAAAGAAAAAGAAGCUUGCCCUAGCCAGCUUGGCUCAGUGGAUAGAGCAUCAGCCUGUGGACUGAAGGGUCCCAGGUUCGAUUCCGGCCAAGGGCACAUGCCUGGGUUGCGGGCUCGAUCCCCAGUAGGGGGUGUGCAGGAGGCAGCCGAUCAAUGAUUCUCUCUCAUCAUUGAUGUUUCUCUCCCUCUCUCCUUCUCCCUUCCUCUCUGAAAUCAAUAAAGAAAUAUAUUUUUUUUAAAAGAAAAGAAAAGCUUUUUAUUAUGGAACAUCCUAUAUAAUAAAAGCCUAAUAUACUAAGUGCCUGGUCGUCUGGUUGGCUGUUCAACCAAUCAAAGUGUAAUAUGCUAAUGAUAUGCUAAGGCCACUCAACCUCUCUCUAUGACAUGCCCUGGCCACCAGAGAGCAGACAGUCGACCAGUUGACCAGUCGCUAUGACAUGCACUGACCAUCAGGGGACAGAUGCUCCAAUGGUAGGUUAGCUUGCUGCUGGAAUCUGGCCACUUGAGACUGAGUGAGAUAGGCCAGACAUGCCCUGGAGCCCUCCACAGUCCCUCCCUGGCUGGCCAAACUCCCAUGUCCCUCUGAUCGUGCACCAAUGGGGUCCCUUGGCCUGGCCUGCACCCUCUCACAAUCUGGGACCCCUCAGGGGAUGUUGGAUAGCCGGUUUCAGCCCUAUCGCACGCAACACGGGAGCUGCCCCCUGGUGGUCAGUGCACUCCCACAGGGGGAGCACUGUUCAGCCAGAAGCCGGGCUCACGGCUGGUGCACGCAGCAGCCGUGGUGGGAGCCCCUCCCGCCUCUGCAGCAGUGCUAGGAAUGUCCGACUGCAGGGAGCGGGCCUAAGCUGGCAGUCAGACAUUCCCUGAGGGCUCCUGGCCUGUGAGAGGGUGCAGGCCAGGCUGACGGACCCCCCCCCCACCAAGUACACAAAUUUUGUGCACCGGGCCUCUAGUUUCAAAUAAAAACCAAAGCAAUUAUCUUCUCUCCUCGCCAGUCUUGUUUCUUUCACCUUUUCCAACUGCUCCUGGAUUCUCUUAAAUCAAUCAUAUAACUUUAUAAUUAAUCAUAUAAUUUAUAGAAAUGAUGAAUAAAAAAAUUAUGAUUCUAUAGGAAAUUAGAAAUAUUUCUUAUGAAAUUGUAUGGAAAUAUGCAUAUAUUUUAGUCUUCUAAAAUUUAAGUACACCCCCUUUUUCUUUUUUUGAUAUAUUUUUAUUGAUUUCAGAGAGGAAGGGAGAGGAAGAGAGAGAAACAUCAAUGUUGAGAGGGAAUUAUUGAUUGGCUGCCUCCUGCAUGUUGGACCAAGUCUGCAACCCAGGCAUGUGUCCUUGACCGAAAUCGAACCCUUUGGUCCACAGGCUGAUGCUCUAUCCACUGAGCAAAACUGGCUAGAGCAGGACGCCCAUUUUUAAACAGAACUUAAGUCAUACUCCUGAAAGUCAACAGUAAGUUCCAUUAUCAUUAGAUACUCAAUCAGCAUUUGUUUCUAGUUCCUUGACUGACUGAUAAAUUUUUUUAAGUUUUUUAAAAAUUUAGGAUCUAAACAAGACCCAUACAUUACAAUUGAUUAAUAAAUCUUAUACCUCUUGGGGGGGUGGGGGCGGGCAGGGGCAGUCAACAUGCAAUAAAAUUUACCUUUUAAGAAAAAUUAAGUAAAAUUCACUAUUUAAGUGUACAGUUUGACGAGUCCUGAGAUGUAUGCAGGUGUGUACUCAGUGUUACAGUCAAUAUGCAGAAUAUUCCAUCAUCUCCAAAAGCUCCCCACAGGUCCCUUUGCAGUCUGUACCCACCCUUCUUGACCUCAGCAACCACUGGUCUUAUUUUGGUCCCUGUAGUUUUGCCUUUUCCCAAAUGUCACACAAGUGGGAUUAUGUAGCUACAGCUUUGUGUGCCUGGCUACUUCUUACUGUGACAGGAAGUCUCUCAGUUCAGGGGCUUCCCUUCCUUGAAGCAUUUUUGAAGAAACCAGAUCAUUUGUUUCAGUUUCCCACAGUCUGGAUUUUGCUGAUUGUAUCCCACAGGAGGCUGCUUGUGAAAAGCCACAAAAGAGCUCAUGUUCCUGUGACUUGUAUCUGGGGAUUUACUCUGGACAGAAGGUCCAGGAAAGCCAGGAGUCAAGGCUACGGGCAUCAUUUCUAAUCAGUUUUGUCUUUUGAGUGUCGACAGGUGGAAAGUGAGCUAGAGUUCUUUCCACAUCUAACUUUCUAUGGAGUUCCUUGGCUCUGCCAAACACGAAAAUAGAAGCAGAAAUGAGUUUACCAAGAGAAAAGCACUAGGAGAAGUGAACCGCAACUGAAGGCUCCCAUUGUCCAUGGAAGUGGUGAGGAAAUGGGCUCAGGAUGCUCACCCUCCCCUGUAAGCACAGGCCAGGGUUUUCCUCCACUACCUGACCACUAAGGGACUUCACCUGCCUUUCCUUCUUUCCUGUUCUCUGAUGAGAUGGGGAUGGCUUUGCCAUGCUAGCUGGUGUCUGCAACUUCGAUUGUCUACAAGAGUGAGGCAGAGCUGAACACAGGUGGAUCUGUUGACCUCGCUGGGCAUCUCCGGGGCACUUGGUGCUGGUGCCUCAGGGGUUUUGUUCCCACACCUUUGCACUCGCUUCUGCUCACUCCCCAUGCUGGCUUCAUCGCUGUGCCCCAGCUACCCUGCUUUCUUGCCCUUCCCCCUUUGAUUGCAGAUGAUGGCAGGGCCAUUUUGUUUCUCUCUGUCACUGACAAGCAGCUGAGUGUCCUUGGGCAGCUCCUUGGACCGUAGUCUUGCUCUUCACUCUCCUGCACAGUCCAGCAGCCCUAACACCUGGCUGGCCACGGCACUGCCCAGUGGUCUUUAAGGUUCAGCAGAGAGAGGCCAAAGAACGCCCUGCGGUGUUGGGAGGGCAGGCGGCCAGGGCCUUGGCAGGUUAAGGAGUCCUUAUCUUGGUGGAUACAUGUUGAAGGCUGUCCAUGAGGGGGUCUGUGAGGGAAACAGCAGCCCCCUUGUGUCUUAUAGCACCCAAAGGACAAGGACCUAGGAUGCCUGGGAGGGCUGUGAAGUGUGCUUUCUGAAUGUGCCCAGUGACACACCUGGGACUUGUGUGCCUUGACAGACAGGUGGGGCAGGUAGGCACAGCCAGGCUCAGUGGGAGCCGACAUGAACCCUCGUGCUGGACCGCGGUGCCUGGAGUUGAGUUACCGCUUCACCCCCGAGCCUCACAGUCUCCUCAGGUGUUAAAUGUGGAUAAAAAUCCUUAUCCAUUUCACAAGUUUGGAGGAUUCAGUGAAAAAUAUCUAUAAUAAUAAAAGGGUAAUAUGCUAAUUGGACCAGAUGUCCUUCCUGAUGAAGCUGGGGCCGAUGGGAAUCCAGCCUGGGUCCCGGGUACCUGUGGGUGGCUGGAGGAGGGAAGCAGCCCGGGUCCCGGGUGCCAGAGAGAAGCCAGUGCCAGCAGCUGGGGGAAGGAAGGCCUACUCUUGCACGAAUUUUCAUGCAUCAGACCUCUAGUGUGUGUGUGUGUCUCCUUGAAUACUAGCUGGCAUGCAGCAGGCACUCAGUUAGUAGAGAUCCCAUUUGCUUUUUUAUCUUUGACCCAUGGCCUCCCACACCUGCUUUAACCUCCAACUUGCUGAAGGCCGCUGUCUCAGGAGGCACCUUCCACACUGCUCUCCCAUCAGUGCUGAUUUCCAUUCUGGUCCCAUCAGUGGAGAGAGCCACGGUGUUUUUUAUUUAAGCUCCAGCCACUUUGUUUUCACAGAAGUCAGUUCUUUCAAACUAAUACCUUUCUGCUCCAAGGACUACCCAUGGUAGAGAAAUCUGGGCCCUCUUGGUGGAGCCACUUCCCACGGUAGAGGCCUCAAAGUCUAAGCUUGUCCUGGCCGGCCAGCCUGUGCACAGCCCUGCACCAUCGUGUGUCGUGUCUCAGCUCCCAGCAUCUCUCUGACUAGGGGACUUGCUACCCCGGGGCUUGGAGAACUUGCCAUCACUCACUGGCUUUGGAAGGAAGCUGUUCAAAAGCAUCUGCCCUGUGUGUCGCCAAGGGCAGGAGAAAGUCCCAGAAGAAAUCUGUUCGGCUGUGCAGAAAAUUAAAUUUGAGUUGCAGUUUUCAGAAAUCCUUCUGAGCGUUGCCUGGGACUGGAAACAAAUGAAUCACCCUGGGACGUCUUGGUUCAUCUCUGUCCAAGUGACUCAGUGCUUUUGUCCACCCUCCCUUUCGUCGUUCCCACACAGCGGGCUCCAGUUGACUUCUGAAGCCUGAACCAGAGACUCCUGCUCCCAAUUUAGGAGUGGAGAGCCCUAAUUGGAACCAUUCUGGAGCUGCGUGGUCUCUGCGUGAGCCUGGGCCAGCUGUGGCCUCUUGCGUUGGGGUGUUUACACUUGGGUUCUUUGAAGGCGCGCUCCUUUAGGCGAUCCAUCUCAGCAGAGAAUGCAGUGACCACCUUGCCAGGGGGCCCCCGUCGCACAUGCUGGUCUCACAGCGCACAUGCUCCAGGUGACAGACUGACUACUGUUUUAGGCUCUGUUGCCCUCAGUUCUUUCGUGGGGAGGGAGACGGGAACCAGAUCUAAUUUAAUACGAUCCUGAGGCCCCUCGCAGCGGGAUCAGUGCAGCUUCCUUUAUGGCGAGACGGCCCUGCCAUAGCAACCUGCACAACUGCCUUCUAGUGUCUAGAAGAGCUUUAUUCAGCCUCCAUGAGUUUCUUUCAUUUUAUUUUUUUCAAAUGGGGAAGGAAAGGAGGAGGCUGUGGAGAGAAAGGGCUCUGAUAUAAACAGUUUCCAAGGAGACCCGAGGGUUGGGGUUGGGGAGGUUUUCUCCUUCCCUUGGUCCAUACCGAAGGAGGAGGGGUGUGUGCCCAAACGCAGGGGAUCACGGGAGAUUUCAGCCCAGAGUCCCGGUUCCUCCCUGCUGGAACUGCCAGAUGUUCCAGUGUUCUCAGGCUUAAGGGGACAGAUGCACGCAGGGGCUCAGCUGAGAUUCCAAGAGGACUUUGGGGUGUCCAGGAGCACUUUCAAAGUUAAUGGGCCCAGCCAACACUGUCGAGGAUGGACAGAACCCGACUUCCUAGCUGCUGGCUCCUGGCCCAUUUCCAGGAGAGAGCUGCAACCUGCUUUCUUCCUUAAGUCCUGGAGCUGGGAGUGAGAAACCAUGGGGUGCAUGUACUCAUCUCCGCAGGACGAGCCCACCCUGAGAAGGUCAGUCCCAAACAGUGUCCCUGGCAGCAGACUGUGUCUAUGGCCCUCUGGCUGAGGGACACUUGACACCUAUACUCUAGGGCAGCGGUCGCCAACUGGUGGUCUGCGGACCACUGCUGGUCCGUGAGGUCCAAAAGGUUGGCGACCGCUGCUCCAGUGAGUUGGAACUUCUUUUGGGGCACGGAUGCCCUGGAGGCAUGAGGAGGGUGCUAUGUAGAGUUGACCAGCAUAGUUGGGUUGGGCAGGGGCACUGUUGGUCCCUUCAGUCCUGGAUUUGUAGGCUACAUUGUCCUGCUUCCGAAGGACAGAAUAUGGACUGGAAACCAGGAAGGUCCCAGUCACCGACUCCUGUGCCUGUGAAAGAUCAGGUUCCAUGUACAAAUUCCUAGUGGAGCCAUCAGGCGGGGUAAGCCAGUCAGCGGCACUCAGGUGUGGCGACAGGUGCUGCGGUGCCCCUGUGGGCCAGGUGUAACAGUGAGAACAUCAGGAAACAGCCUGUUGGGGCACUGGCUAGGCAUGGGGUCUUCUUCAGUCCCCCCGGGUUUCCCUUAUCUCUGGAAGCCAUCCCUGGUGGGAGUGUUCUUCCUUUCCCCAGGUGUUGAAGCUAGGAAGGGACCAGGCUGGCCUCCAGAAGUGCUCAUGCUUCCUGGGAGAACCCUUCCUCCGGGACAGGCAGGGCUAGCCAUCUUGCCUGCCUCUGCCGUUCCCAGCCAGACCUGCCUAGAGGGCUCCCCUCUCCGCUCCCAGAGCUUUUCCAGCUGUGACUCCCGCCCUGUGAAACUGCAUCAGGAGGCCACACUGAGGCCCUCCUCCCCAGCCCCCACGCACUGUCAGGGCUGUAGCUGAGCUCCCCGGCUACAUGGGCCUCAUCCAGGAGCCCCUCGGCUGCCGGUUCCCAUGGCUCUCUCUCUUGGGAGCCGUUUUGUCUCUGAGAGUAGAGCUCAGCUCUUCCAAGAGGCCCUUUUGGUUUCUCCAGGCAUGGUGCCUGCUCCCUCCAAAGCCCUGUGGUCUGGGCGUCUGAUCCAUCUCUGAGCCUUAGGAAUCAGAAUGACCCAAAUCACCUCAUUCUACUGAGAACACCCUCUUUAUCCCUGAGAAUUAACCAAGUCCCAGGUGCUGUGCAAGGCACUAGGAGGCUGCAGAGCCAAGAUGCAGUAUUUUCAACAAGAGGAACUUCAGCCUUGAGAGGCCAUGACUUGUCACAGGCACAGGAUUUGAACUGAGUCUCUGCUCCUGAUGUGUGGCCUCUCCCGUCCCUCCAUGAUUAUCCUCAGGGCCCGUAUUUCUCCGUUGUAAGAAAGAGGCUGCCCGUUUAGUCUCUUGCCCUUGGUGCUGGCACAGUGCCCUGCCCACCCCAGCUGGCACGUGUCACCUGCAGGUGGAGGAACAGCCCAGCAUUCACUGGGCAGUGGGGCUGCUUUCUGUCCCUUUCUUCAGCAAGGCAUCAAAUCCACCUUCUCGAGUUGUCGCUUCUGUGGAAGCCUCUUCCUUUUGAGAAGAAAUAGGAUUUGGCUUUUCAGCUGAUGUCAGGCCACCUCUGCCAACCUUCUACAGGACUGACCGCCCCAGAAAGUGAUCAAAUGUGUGCUGAGUGCCAGGUGUUGUGCUGAUUGUGGCCUCUCCCCUAUUUUUAGACUUGUGAGUUGUCCCCCAUUUUUUAAAACUUUAAAAUGUAUUUUUAGUUAUAAAAAUGUGAAAAUCAAAAAAUUGAAAAAUUAUAGAAACCAUCUUACCUAUUAUCCUAACCCUUCAAUAUUCUCUGUCAAGAUGCUGGUAUAUUCUCUCCAAGUCCUUUUUCUAUGAAUAAUAGUGUGCACUCCAUUUCUUAAGGACACAAAUUCUUGUUUCCCUCCUGCCAGUCAUACAUUAUACCCUGAAAGAGGCUGAGUGUAAAUGAAGCUGUGUUUAUUACCUUGCUGUCACACCAUAGCUUGUGUUUCCACUGGCUCUGCAGUGUCAUUCUACAUUUCUCCCAGGGCUUCUGCCAUGUUCAUCCCCACCUAGGGACGGGCAGUGGUUGAGAAACUGAAAGAGUUAUAUAUAAGUGAAUAUUCCCAAAUCUCAAGCCUAGCCCUUUUUAAGUGUCAACUAAAUGCAUUUAGUUUGUUUUCAUUUUUUAAACUGAGUUAAAAUUCACCAUAUUAACCAUUUUACUAGUAAAGUAUACAAUCUUGUGGCUUUUAGUAUAGUCACAGUGUUGUUCAACCAUCAUCACUAUCUAACUCAAAAACAUUUUCAUCACCUCAAAGGGAACCACUGUUCCCAUUAAGCAAUCUCGCCCCCUUCUCCCCCCGCCCCUGGUACCACUCUGUCUCUAUGGAUUUGCCUGGCUUGCACAUUUCAUAUAAAUGGAAAUUGCAUUUAGUUUUGUGUGGGGUUUUUUCUCAUAUUUCAUCAGAAACGUUUAUCUAGGUUGCUGAUAGUUUUCUUACCCAUCAGUUUAAAUUUAUGUUGAGUAGGUGAUAUAUUAUCAUGAUUCUGUAUCAAAAGGAACACAGCAGUAGAAUUCACACUGUUGUGCACCUUGCUUUCUUCAUCUAACAGUGUGUCUUGGGGAGCAUGCCAUGUUAGUGCAGACAGACAUUUAGUGUUCUGUCUAGGCUGCACAUAAACUAGAGGGGGAGUGGACAUGUGGAUGUUGAUGGCUGGGCAUGGGUAGAAGUUGGACAUGUAGGAAAGAUGUCCAGACACAAGACCCCUUUUGGAGUGUAGGUUGGAGCUGGGAGUUGGGAGAGAAAAGAGGCAGGCCUGAGGGCCUCCAUUCAUGCUCUUGCCAUGGCCCUGCUCAUGUGGGGAUGGGUCUGCCUGGGGGUGCUAGGGUAGUGGAGAGCUGGGGGAGGGCCUUUCUGAGUUCCUAGGAGGCUAGGCCAUCACUGGGUGGGGAAGCCAAGCCCGUGGCUGGUCCCCAGCUGCCUCCCUCCUGGCCCCUAGCAGGCUGCUGCACUGACAGGGCCUCCAGGACAGAGGAAGACACUGGAGCGGCCAAAUCAGGCGCUGGGGCCUUGCCUCCCACGGGGCCCACAUGUAACAUUAUUUACCACGAAGGCCCUGAAAGUAGACUACUAUUUCAUUCUAAAUAGGUUAGGAGGCCCUAAUAGUCCUGGACCUACUAAUCUAGUGAAAAACCCAGUGGGGGAUUAAACAGGAAAAUACCAUCUUUAUGUUUACAAAAUUAUGUGUCUAAACAGCUUUGCUGAGGCAUUCUUAAAAGAAACCUCACUUAGUGAGUUUUUCCAUGGACUUCAGGCAUCUACUCCUGAGGGACAUCACUUUUAUGCUGUCGUGACAUGCAUGUGUGCGCCUGCGGGCAUUCCACUCUUUCCUACACUUUUCCAUGUGCUGGAGGAUGUAGGGAAAGAGCAGAGACCUUGGAAUCAGGCUGGGAUUGGUCCUUGCCUGGCCACUUACUGGCCAGAGGACCGGGCUGCUGUUGAGCUCUGUCGACUAUCUGUAAAGUGGGCAUUCAGCACCCCCUGUACUGGGCCUGGGGAUGAGCCUGCUUUGUGGAAGGAGCUUCUUCAAUGUGAUCUCACAGCACCUUCCCUGAGACCCUGCGUUUCUAACACGUCGCCCCAGGGGCAAAGUGCUUGGUCAUCCACAAUUGCUGACCAGCAUGUGGACCCUCAGCUGGCAGGCUGAAGGCAGAAGGGAGCCACUGAGCUCGAGACCAGCAGUCACCAACCCAUGGUCCGCGGAUCACUGGUGGUCUGUGAGGUCCGAAAGGUUGGCAACCGCUGCUCUAGUCAGCCUCCAGAAAGCCCUAACAGGGAAGAGGGAAGGUGGAGGCUCUGCGCCCUCCCCGAAGCCAGCCCUGUCUCACUUCUGAUCCCAGUUCAUCCAACCUGAGACACAGCCCACUUUGGGCCCCUUCAUACCCCAUCCAGUCCCUUUCUGCCCUGCUUGAUCCCAUUCAUGAUCCAUCCAUGUUUUAUGAAAAACACAGUGGCUUGGCUGGACUUGUCUGACGUGGAACUUGGAAUAAUCUUGGCUAUUUAUUAAAAAGAUUUGUUAAGUAAGUAAAUGGCAUUAGUAUAGAGGCCAGCCAUCAGUUAACUUCUGAAAAACUGGGAAUACUCAACACCCGGCACACACCCAUUGUCACUCUGUACCACAGCUUUUAUGCAGGAACGUGGUGGUGCCCUCUGGUUGCCCAGAGACUCUGCUGUUGACUGUGGUGUGGCAGGGACGGUGGCCAGGCGAGUGCCUGGAACUCCCCAGUGAUAGCUAUGGAGCCUGCCUCAUGCUGGAUGCUCCUCUUUAUAUACUUUUUCUUUAUUUGAUUUUUGCAGAAACCUUUGAAGUGUUUUGUUAUCCCCCUUUUUUAAUUGAAGAACAAUUAAUUCUGGUUCAAGUUCACUCAGCUGCUAGUUGGCAGGCUCCUCCACCUCGUUGCCUCCCAUGCCUGCCCAAGAAUAAGUAUAAACUUUUUAUUGACAUAUAAUAUCUGCAGAAAGGUAUGUACAGAUCGGUGGUA